UUUUUUUUUCCUCCUCCUCCUCACUACUUCUCCUGCACUUAAGUUCUGCUGUCAAGUAGCCAUGUGAGCACUGGUCUUCAUCCACUUGCUGGUACCCAGUGAGUAAAUACUACGAAACAUCCUCUGACAACGGAAUUAGACGCAUCAUACAAUAGUUACAACAAUUUAAUGUCUACAUCACACUUUGUCUCAUUCCACUCAUUCUGCUACCGAGACAUCUGACUGAGGAAUACAGAACCCAAGAAGUGAUUGGUCCGGUAAUGCCAAAGAGGGACUGAGAACAGAGCUCAGAUCUCCUGAAACACAGCCACUUCAUUUGCAAAGAUUCUUCCAAAUUAUCACUCGGGAGUAGUUUUAAUGCCAGUGACACACUGUCAUCAGCCUGCCUUCAAGAUUAGAGGCCUCGUGUGGUGGUGCAGCCCCCCCCGGCCACGUUGCAAUGUCAGGACCAGCCAACACUGUGUUCUUGUGCAGUGAGUUGCGACAACCUGGAACUUUCUUAUCCUGGCUACAGUACAGUGAGUUAGGACAGUUAGGCACUCCCUAACUGUACCUGAAACUCCUGCUGCCUGGAUCAUGGCCCACCUUUGAGGGUGCCUGACAAGAACUGUGGCCAGAAUGGAAAUACACUGACUGAAGUCAAUCAUCUCCUGAACAUAUAAACAGCGGUCCUGAGUGACGCCCUUUGAGCUCUCCUGGACUGCAGCGGGCUGUGACCAGCAUCUCCCUCUGAGUGGGACGUCUCUCACAGCUCACAAACUCUCCAGUUUGCGAAAUUCGGAGGACCGUCACUGAAAGCUGAUGAUGGGACCUGGGCUGAAACCCUUCACUCCUUGAGGCUCAACCCUCACCCGCUGAGAAAUGCUGAGACAUUUGAAGUGAUUAUUUCACUGGACUUGAGAUGAAUUUUUAACAGGUAUACCUUAUUUAUAUAUGUAUCUCUCUUUGUGUCUGUGUGCAUGCG